GAUGAACGCUAGCGGCAGGCUUAAUACAUGCAAGUCGAGGGGCAACAGGGGUAGCAAUACUCGCUGGCGACCGGCAAACGGGUGCGGAACACGUACAGAACCUUCCUUUAAGUGGGGAAUAGCCCAGAGAAAUUUGGAUUAAUACCCCGUAACAUUAUGGAGUGGCAUCACUUUAUAAUUAUAGAUUCAUCGCUUAAAGAUGGCUGUGCGGCUGAUUAGGUAGUUGGCGGGGUAACGGCCCACCAAGCCUGCGAUCAGUAACUGGUGUGAGAGCACGACCAGUCACACGGGCACUGAGACACGGGCCCGACUCCUACGGGAGGCAGCAGUAAGGAAUAUUGGUCAAUGGACGCAAGUCUGAACCAGCCAUGCCGCGUGGAGGAUGAAGGUCCUCUGGAUUUGUAAAACUUUCUUUUAUCUGGGAAGAAACCCAUUGUUUUCUAAUGUGGUUGACGGUACCAGAUGAAUAAGCACCGGCUAACUCCGUGCCAGCAGCCGCGGUAAC
rnacentral:rRNA from 1 species